rnacentral:rRNA from 1 species
CAAUAAAUCAAAACUUUCAACAACGGAUCUCUUGGUUCUGGCAUCGAUGAAGAACGCAGCGAAAUGCGAUAAGUAAUGUGAAUUGCAGAAUUCAGUGAAUCAUCGAAUCUUUGAACGCACAUUGCGCCCGCCAGUAUUCUGACGGGCAUGCCUGUUCGAGCGUCAUUUC